rnacentral:lncRNA from 1 species
AUGUAUGUAUGUAUGUAUGUGUGUGUAUAUGUAUAUGUUAAUAUUUUAUUGAAACCAUUGAUGUCCCUCUUUGCAGAACUCAAACUAACUGGAGUUAAGGACACACAAGUCUGCUUGUGUGAGGAGGAGGUGGUUUUCUCAGCUUCUUCUGAAGAGAGGGAAAGAUCGUUUAAGAUGUUAAAAGCAAGAGACAUGGGAGAGCAUCAUUCCUUUGAGAUUUAGGAAAUCAAACCAACUUUGGAGUUGUCUGUGUCAUGUCCACUGUCUGAUCACCCCGUUCUUGUGUGUGUGUGUGUGUUUCUGUAUAUGUCUGCAUUUCGUGCGCACAUGGUGUUUUGUUUUGGUUUUGAUUGCUCGUCUUGCACCUAUCUUUGGCGUUCCUCCCUCCCCCUCAUUAUCACAGUUUCCGUUUCUAAUGGUUUG